GACGAACGCUGGCGGCGUGCUUAACACAUGCAAGUCGAACGGAAAGGCCCUGCUUUUGUGGGGUGCUCGAGUGGCGAACGGGUGAGUAACACGUGAGUAACCUGCCCUUGACUUUGGGAUAACUUCAGGAAACUGGGGCUAAUACCGGAUAGGAGCUCCUGCUGCAUGGUGGGGGUUGGAAAGUUUCGGCGGUUGGGGAUGGACUCGCGGCUUAUCAGCUUGUUGGUGGGGUAGUGGCUUACCAAGGCUUUGACGGGUAGCCGGCCUGAGAGGGUGACCGGCAACAUUGGGACUGAGAUACGGCCCAGACUCCUACGGGAGGCAGCAGUGGGGAAUAUUGCACAAUGGGCGGAAGCCUGAUGCAGCAACGCCGCGUGCGGGAUGACGGCCUUCGGGUUGUAAACCGCUUUCGCCUGUGACGAAGCGUGAGUGACGGUAAUGGGUAAAGAAGCACCGGCUAACUACGU
rnacentral:rRNA from 1 species